rnacentral:rRNA from 1 species
UACAGAGGUCGCAAGCGUUGUUCGGAUUCAUUGGGCGUAAAGGGUGCGUAGGCGGCGCGGUAAGUCGGAUGUGAAAUCUCGGAGCUUAACUUCGAAACUGCAUUCGAUACUGCCGUGCUUGAGGACUGGAGAGGAGACUGGAAUUUACGGUGUAGCGGUGAAAUGCGUAGAUAUCGUAAGGAAGACCAGUGGCGAAGGCGGGUCUCUGGACAGUUCCUGACGCUGAGGCACGAAGGUCAGGGGAGCAAACGGG